rnacentral:lncRNA from 1 species
AGGCCCCUCGGCCUCAGCAGAGCGCUAUCCUCCACUGGUUCCCCGGGUUCCCCGGCUUGCUACCGGGCUGCUCCGUGCAUCUUUCCCCCCAGGCGUCAGGAACUGCGCCCUCAUGGCGGAGGUGAAGGUGAAGGUGCAGCCGCCUGACGCGGAUCCGGUCGAAAUAGAAAACAGGGUCAGUUGGAUCUCUUAAGGAGCAAUACGGGCCUUUUAUAUAGAAUAAAGGACUCUCAGAAUGCUGGGCAGAAACAGCACGAGAAAGCAAACAGAACCCAAUGAUACAAAGAAAUAGUUCAUUUGCCUCAUCACAUGAAGUGUGGAAAUAUAUCUGCGAAUUGGGAAUCAGUAAGGUUUUUGAUGACUGCCACGAAGGUGGUGAGAUUUCACCAUCUAACUGUAUUUACAUGACAGAGUGGCUCGAAUUUUAAUAGAGAGCUAUGAACUUUAUUGACAUUUUGCAAAUGAAGUUACUUAGGGAGCAGAUAAUUUAAUUCAUGAUGGAACACGAAAUCUCCUUGAAAGCAAACUUCACAAUAAUGGACGUAGACUUGCUGCUAUGAAAACAUAUUUUUUUUAUUUAUGAAGACUAAAUUUAUAUUGGUAAAAUAGCCAGUAGAAUAUGAAAGAAAUAAGGUUAGUAGUGAAAUUCAUUCUUCAAUAAAUAAAACACUUUGAAACUCCGGAGGACCACAUCUU